GAUGAACGCUGACAGAAUGCUUAACACAUGCAAGUCGAUUCGAUUUACCUUCGGGUACUGAGGAUGGCGGACGGGUGAGUAACGCGUAAGGAACUUGCCUCUUGGUCUGGGACAACUGUUGGAAACGACAGCUAAUACCGGAUAUUAUGAGAUUCUCGCAUGGGAAACUUAUGAAAGCUAUAUGCGCCAAGAGAGAGCCUUGCGUUCCAUUAGCUAGUUGGUGGGGUAACGGCCCACCAAGGCGACGAUGGAUAGCCGGCCUGAGAGGGUGAACGGCCACAAGGGGACUGAGACACGGCCCUUACUCCUACGGGAGGCAGCAGUGGGGAAUAUUGGACAAUGGGCCACAAGCCUGAUCCAGCAAUUCUGUGUGCACGAUGAAGGUCUUCGGAUUGUAAAGUGCUUUCAGUUGGGAAGAAGAAAGUGACGGUACCAACAGAAGAAGCGACGGCUAAAUACGUGCCAGCAGCCGCGGUAAUACGUAUGUCGCAAGCGUUAUCCGGAUUUAUUGGGCGUAAAGCGCGUCUAGGCGGAAAAAUAAGUCUGAUGUUAAAAUGCGGGGCUCAACUCCGUAUUGCGUUGGAAACUGUUUUUCUAGAGUACUGGAGAGGUGGGCGGAACUACAAGUGUAGAGGUGAAAUUCGUAGAUAUUUGUAGGAAUGCCGAUGGAGAAGUCAGCUCACUGGACAGANACUGACGCUAAAGCGCGAAAGCGUGGGGAGCAAACAGGAUUAGAUACCCUGGNAGUCCACGCC
rnacentral:rRNA from 1 species